UCUAUGAGACAUCCUGGACCUGGAACACUCAGCAUUUCUAAACAUGAUGGUUCUAGGACUUAACAUUUGAGCCCUCAAAAGCAUGGUCGCCCCUGCUACAACAACUGCCUUGGACCUGUGAGCAUGAGCCAAAACCUCUUACUUGGUAAGGAUGAGGUCAUAUCAAUGUACAUCACAGGAACUGGCUUACAAAGAAGAUUCCCCCAGAAGCACAGAUGGAGGUGGGGCCUGAAGAGCUACUGAAGCUAGGGAACAGCUCCUCAACUCCAGUUUACAAACAGUCUGUGUUUCUAUACUCCAUCUAAAUUAUCUGCCCAUGAGCCAAUUUUCCACAUACAGAAUAUUUCCUUUAUGGCUGGAUAGACGUCUUGAUGAGUGUUUGUAAGGUUUCAGAUACUAAUGAUUGUAUCCCCACAACACUCUGGCAAGGGUUAGAGGAGACCAUCACAAAGGCAAAAUGAACAAUGAGUGGAGAGGGAGCUCAGUUCGGCCGGCAUAAGGAACGAGGAAAGGACAUGCUUUCAGAUGGGAUUCGAAAAGCAGAUGGAGGGUCUAUGGGGCAGAGAUGUACACAAAGGCCGUUCCUGAGGGCAGGAGCUCCUGUGGAGAGGGCUCUUGCACAGUCAACCUCCACACUCUGCGAAGGGCCAGGGAGGAAGAUGCUGCCAGACAAAGGGAGGGAGCAGGAAGAGAGGAGAAAGACAAGGAAGAAGAGGUUUGUCCCAUCACAGCUUGAACUCUAGGGGAAAGGGAUAAAAAUCCCUGUCAAGAAGAAAUUGUCAUCACUGUGCUGCUUGGAAUUUGGAGAGUGCAACAUUUCUAAGCAUAAGCAAGGGAUCCCCAAGCCUGAACACUGUUGUGAUUUUUGGUGUAAGGGACCAUCUAUCACAAAGGUAGCCUUGCCUGGGUGGCAAGAUAGACUGGAGUGCCCAAGAGGACUGUCUGUGACUCCAUGUUAAAACAGUUAUAGUGCUUGAGGAGUUGUGUUUGUCACCAGAGGACAGACAAGGAGAUAAACUUCAAUGUGACUUCUGCAUCCGUGCAGAUUGGGAUUGAGGAGACUAGCAAUGCAAAAAACAAAACAAAAUUACAUGCUUAUCUCUGAUAACUGAUGCUCUGAAUGUCCUUAAAUUCUUAACAGUAGAUAUUGGGAGACAUCAAAAUACCAGUACUACUCUUUUAGUCUGCAAACCCCUGCGAUGUGGAGAUCAGCAUUAAUAGAGCAGUCACAUUCCACAUGGCUUGUCAAACUGGAGUGGCACCAAGCUUGACUGCAAUCUAUUUCACAAGCAAAGAGAGACAGCCUUGGCAUGCUCAGGUCAAAAAUGAAGAACUGACUAAAAGCCCUGGCAUUCCCGAGCAAUACAGUGUAGUAAUUCAUACACUCGAAUCACAUCAUAAGCAAAACAGAAGCUAAAUAAAUACUA